UACGGGGGGUGCAAGCGUUGUUCGGAAUUACUGGGCGUAAAGGGCGCGUAGGCGGUGCUCUAAGUUAGAUGUGAAAACUCUGGGCUCAACCCAGAGCCUGCAUCUAAAACUGGAGUGCUAGAGUUCUGGAGGGGGUAGCGGAAUUCCUGGUGUAGCGGUGAAAUGCGUAGAUAUCAGGAGGAACACCGGUGGCGAAGGCGGCUACCUGGACAGAAACUGACGCUGAGGCGCGAAAGCUAGGGGAGCAAACAGG
rnacentral:rRNA from 1 species